AUUGAACGCUGGCGGCAGGCCUAACACAUGCAAGUCGAGCGGAUGAAGGGAGCUUGCUCCUGGAUUCAGCGGCGGACGGGUGAGUAAUGCCUAGGAAUCUGCCUGGUAGUGGGGGAUAACGUCCGGAAACGGGCGCUAAUACCGCAUACGUCCUGAGGGAGAAAGUGGGGGAUCUUCGGACCUCACGCUAUCAGAUGAGCCUAGGUCGGAUUAGCUAGUUGGUGGGGUAAAGGCUUACCAAGGCGACGAUCCGUAACUGGUCUGAGAGGAUGAUCAGUCACACUGGAACUGAGACACGGUCCAGACUCCUACGGGAGGCAGCAGUAGGGAAUAUUGGGCAAUGGGCGAAAGCCUGAUCCAGCCAUGCCGCGUGUGUGAAGAAGGUCUUCGGAUUGUAAAGCACUUUAAGUUGGGAGGAAGGGAAGUAAGUGAAUACCUUGCUGUUUUGACGUUACCAACAGAAUAAGCACCGGCUAACUUCGUG
rnacentral:rRNA from 1 species